rnacentral:rRNA from 1 species
AGAGUUUGAUCAUGGCUCAGGAUGAACGCUAGCUACAGGCUUAACACAUGCAAGUCGAGGGGUAGCAGGGUAGCAAUACCGCUGACGACCGGCGCACGGGUGAGUAACACGUAUCCAACCUUCCCAUAACUCAGGGAUAGCCUUUCGAAAGAAAGAUUAAUACCUGAUAGUACUUUUUCAAGGCAUCUUGAAAAAGUUAAAGAUUUAUUGGUUAUGGAUGGGGAUGCGUUCCAUUAGAUAGUUGGUGAGGUAACGGCUCACCAAGUCUUCGAUGGAUAGGGGUUCUGAGAGGAAGGUCCCCCACAUUGGUACUGAGACACGGACCAAACUCCCACGGGAGGCAGCAGUGAGGAAUAUUGGUCAAUGGGCGAGAGCCUGAACCAGCCAAGUAGCGUGAAGGAAUGAAGGUCCUAUGGAUUGUAAACUUCUUUUAUAGUAGAAUAAAGUGAUCCACGUGUGGAUUUUUGUAUGUAUACUAUGAAUAAGGAUCGGCUAACUCCGUGCCAGCCGCCGC